rnacentral:rRNA from 1 species
UGGGGAAUAUUGGACAAUGGGCGAAAGCCUGAUCCAGCCAUGCCGCGUGAGUGAUGAAGGCCCUAGGGUUGUAAAGCUCUUUCACCGGUGAAGAUAAUGACGGUAACCGGAGAAGAAGCCCCGGCUAACUUCGGGCCAGCAGCCGCGGUAAUACGAAGGGGGCUAGCGUUGUUCGGAUUUACUGGGCGUAAAGCGCACGUAGGCGGACUUUUAAGUCAGGGGUGAAAUCCCGGGGCUCAACCCCGGAACUGCCUUUGAUACUGGAAGUCUUGAGUAUGGUAGAGGUGAGUGGAAUUCCGAGUGUAGAGGUGAAAUUCGUAGAUAUUCGGAGGAACACCAGUGGCGAAGGCGGCUCACUGGACCAUUACUGACGCUGAGGUGCGAAAGCGUGGGGAGCAAACAGG